rnacentral:rRNA from 1 species
GUGGGGAAUAUUGGGCAAUGGGGGAAACCCUGACCCAGCGACGCCGCGUGAGGGAAGAAGGCCUUAGGGUCGUAAACCUCUGUUGUGUGGGAAGAAGAGCGUGACGGUACCAAACGAGGAAGUCCCGGCUAACUACGUGCCAGAAGCCGCGGUAAAACGUAGGGGACGAGCGUUGUCCGGAUUUAAUGGGCGUAAAGGGCGCGUAGGCGGUCAUUUAAGUCAGCUGUGAAAUGGUUUGGCUUAACCGGAUCAUGCUGUUGAAACUGGAUGACUGGAGUGCUGGAGAGGCAAGUGGAAUUCCCAGUGUAGCUGUGAAAUGCGUAGAUAUUGGGAAGAACACCGGUGGCGAAGGCGACUUGCUGGCCAGCAACUGACGCUGAGGCGCGAAAGCCAGGGGAGCAAACGGGAUUAGAAACCCCAGUAGUCC